UACAGAGGUCUCAAGCGUUGUUCGGAUUCAUUGGGCGUAAAGGGCGCGUAGGCUGCGGGGCAAGUCGGGUGUGAAAUCUCAGAGCUCAACUCUGAAACUGCACUCGAUACUGCUUUGCUUGAGGACUGGAGAGGAGAUUGGAAUUCACGGUGUAGCAGUGAAAUGCGUAGAUAUCGUGAGGAAGACCAGUGGCGAAGGCGGAUCUCUGGACAGUUCCUGACGCUGAGGCGCGAAGGCCAGGGGAGCAAGCCGG
rnacentral:rRNA from 1 species